rnacentral:rRNA from 1 species
UACGUAGGGUGCGAGCGUUGUCCGGAAUUACUGGGCGUAAAGAGCUCGUAGGUGGUUUGUCGCGUUGUCCGUGAAAACUCACAACUCAAUUGUGGGCGUGCGGGCGAUACGGGCAGACUGGAGUACUGCAGGGGAGACUGGAAUUCCUGGUGUAGCGGUGGAAUGCGCAGAUAUCAGGAGGAACACCGGUGGCGAAGGCGGGGUCUCCUGGGCAGUAACUGACGCUGAGGAGCGAAAGCGUGGGG